rnacentral:lncRNA from 1 species
AAAGCAGCGAUGAAUAAAUGGACCACAUUUGAAGUGUAUUUUCGUUCUGUGUUGAUUUUUGUGUAAAAAAAAUACAAUGAAAAUGUUUCUAGCUUCAUAGCCGAAUGAUUACAAUCUUUUUUGUUUUUGUUUUGAUCUUUUGCUGCGUUUGUUACUGUUGCUGUUGUCCUUUCUGCAGGUAAAGAGGCGACAUGGUAGGGCAGCUGGCGCGUUCGGAGGCGAGGGCAAGGGGGCUGUAGGAGUGGCGCAAAGGAAACCCUAGGGUUCUUUCGGAAAUUCCAAAUGUCUUGAGCCUAUUGAGCUUUGUGCAUUUGGAUUUGUUGUAAUUGUAAAAUUUAGCAUGUCAUUGGGUUUUAAUUGGUUGUGAAAUAGGUUUGUAAUUUGUUUGUAUUUUGGACUUAAUUAUUAUUUUUUGGUUUAUUAUUAUUUGGUUUCAUUUCUGGUUCGAGCCCCGGGCCAAAAUUGGGCCUUACAGCUGCCCCUCUUUGCUUAUUAUUGUGUAACAAGAAUAGAGCAAAGACUUUUAAAAAGGACCAAUUUUGUCCGGUCUCUGAAUCUCGACUUCUUUGGUGCUCCUCUUCUUCAAGUAACCUCGUUCUAAUCUACUGUAUCUUCAGAGGUAUAUGAAUUGAUGCUCUGAUUCGCUCCAAUGUAAUUUUAGGGAAAAGAGAUUUGUAGCUUCGAUCUACUCCGCUGAAACUUUAAGGAGAUAAGCAUUGGUAAUUUCAACAUACUCCACUACAACUUUAGGGAGAUAAGGUUUGUGUAUUUUUAUCCUGCUCUACUGCAACUUUAGAGAGAUAAGGAUUGUAGCUUCGAUCUGCUCCAAUACAACUUUAGGUAGAAAAGAUUUGCCAUGAUGACUUAAUCCGACCUACUACAACUUCAGAGGUAUAAGACUUGUUAUUUAUAGUUUUAAUUUUGUUCCACUGCAACUUCAGAUAAAUACGAUCCGCUAUCUUCGAACCGCUCCACUAUAACUUUAAGGGGGAUAAGGUUCACUAUAUUUAGUCUGCUCCACUGCAACUUUAGGGAGAUAAGACUUGUGGUUUCAAUCUACUUCACUGCAACUUCAAAGAGAUAAGGUUAGUGGCUUCAAUCUGCUCCACUACAACUUCAGGGAGAUAAGACUCGCCAUGGUGAUUUAAUCUGACCUACAGCAACUUCGGAGGUAUAGGAUUUGUGACUUUACUGGCCUGUUACACCGUUUUCUGGGGAACAAGACCUGUAAAAUCCGUUUAAUGGGUCUAUUUACGCCAAAUGAUUAGGAUGUCAUGUUCAGAAUGAAUCAAAUGCUCCCAACUAGAUGUGUAUGAAUGAUACUUGUAUUGAUGCAGAAUGUUAUUUUCGAGAAUGAUUCGUUUUUAAUGAUUAGGUUUUCAUUACUCAUCGUUCAUCAAUGUUUUAUCACUGAUAUGUUACUGUACCUUCUUACUCAGCUGGUAUCUUUGACAGAAGAUUUGAAGAGAUAACCAUAAUUUGAACUAUCUUCCCUCCAAUGUUUUCAAUUUUUGAAUUUAGGUUAGUUCUAACUAGUGGUCCUGUUUCAGGUUCUUGUACCAUUUAGAAACUUUUCAGAGUAAUAUGCAGAACUUCUUUCAUGUGAAUAUUGUAAGUCCAAUAAUCAUUGUUUCAAUGAAAAAUGCUUGAAAAUGCUAUCACGAUGGACAAGAUGGAAUUUUAUUAAGAGCAAAGCUCAAAGUAAAUAGCAAAUUUGCUAAAGUACAAAAUGAAUAAGAUGAAAACAGGAGCCCCAAAUAUCAUAGUACGAGCUUCUCUAUUCAAACUUCUCGAAGACUAUUUCGAGCUAGAUAUGUGUUUAGGAGAUCUAAAGUAUUUGUUGAUGCCCCAAGAUGUAACGCUCAUCCUCUUUUUUUAAUUCUGAGAGGAAAAGACUACCACAUGCCCCAUUUUCAAAAUUUGAGCUGCUCGUUUUUGAGUUUUCAACUUAAAACCCCUUUGGUCUCAAAGCGCCCUUUACGGGUUUUUAUCUUGGCCUCUCCGUUUCUUCUCCUUUUUUCUUUUUUUUAGAAGAUCUCGAAGUGCCCUUUAUGGGUUUUGCCUUAGCCUCUCCCCUUUUAGGUGAAAUGCUUCUUGACAGAAUCCAAGUUCACAAGAUUGGGCAAGUUUUUACUAUCCAUCUCGGCUAGAAUCAGUGCUCCUCCAAAAAAGGCCUUUUUACCACACAAGAUCCUUCCCAGUUUGACAUCCAUUUCUUCCUGAAAUCCUUUUUUAUGGGAAGGAUCUUUUUCAAUACCAGAUCUCCCUAAUGGAAUUCUCUUGGGUGAACCUUUUUUUCAUAAACUCGCAUCAUUCAUUUUUGGUACAUCUGGCCAUGACGGAUAGCCCUUAGCCUUUUUUUCAAUCAAAUUCAGCUGAUCGUAUCGAGACUGGAUCCAUUUUGCUUCAUCCAACUUCACCUCUGACAAAACUCUAAGGGAAGGAAUCUCAACUUCAAUGGGUAAAAUCGCUUCCAUUCCAUAAACUAGUGAGAAAGGCAUUGUCCCGGUAGAAGUCCUGACAGACGUUCGAUAAGCAUAAAGGGCAAAUGGUAGCUUCUCAUGCCAAUCCUUGUAAGUUUCAGUCAUUUUCCCCACAAUCUUCUUAAUAUUCUUAUUGGCUGCUUCCACCGCACCAUUCAUUUUUGGGUCAUAUGGCGACGAGUCGUGCUGUUUGAUCUUGAAUUGACUACAGACCUCUGCUAUCAUGCUGUUGUUCAAAUUCAGUGUAUUGCCUGAUAUGAUCCUUUCUAGCAUUCUAUAUCGACAUAUGAUCUCUUUUUUCAGGAAUUUGCUGACUACUGACUUCGUGACAUUGGCGUAUGAAGCGGCUUCUAUACAUUUGGUGAAAUAAUCGAUGACCGCAAAAAUAAAUCGAUGCCCAUUAAAAGCUUUUGGCGAUGUUGGCCCAAUCACAACCAUGCCCCACAUUGAGAAAGGCCAUGGAGAAGUCCUAACAUGAAGAGGUUAAGGGGGCACAUGAGUCUUGUCUCCAUAAAUUUGGCACUUAUGACAUCUUUUGACGUAAUUAAUACAAUCCCCUUCCAUGGUGGACCAGCAAUAACCGAAUCUCAUAAUUUGAUUAUCUAUUGUAAAGCCAUUAGCGUGUGUCCCACAAACACCCUCAUGAACUUCUUCCAAGAUUUUCUUAGCCUCUGCAGCGUCCACACAUCUUAAUAGCACUUUAUUCUUUCUUCUUUUGUAUAGAAUUUCCCCAUCCAAGACAUAGUCAAUGGCUAGUCUUCUCAACGUCCUUUUAUCAUUCUAGGUUGCCUGGUCCGGUUACUCACGAUUCCUCAUAUAUUGCAAUAUAUCGUGAUACUAAAGGUGAUCAUCUUUUUCUUCUUCUUCAUCGAUGUUGUAGCACUAAGUCGGAGCUUCGUAAAUACUCAUUUGGAUAGGCUUCAUGUCCUCUUGUUUGUUUACUUUGAUCAUAGAAGCUAAGGUAGCCAAGGCGUCAGCCAUCUGGUUUUCAUCAUGCAGGAGGUAGCAGAAAGUGAUGUCAUCAAACUCCUCCAUUAACUCCAGAACUAUUUUUCGAUAAUUGAUCAAUUUGGGGUCUUUCACCUCCCAUUCGCCUUUGAGCUGAUAGAUUACUAGUGCAGAAUCCCCAUAUUCCUCUAGCAUUUUGAUCUUUCGUUCUAUGGCUGCACGGAUACCCAUGAUUCAUGCUUCGUAUUCUAUCAUGUUGUUUGUGCAAUCAAAAUCCAGUUUGCUAGUGAAGGGAUAAUGAUUUCCGUUUGGGGACACCAAGAUUUCCCCGAUUUAAUUACCCACUGCAUUUGAGGCUCCAUCGAAAUUUAACUUCCAAGGGUGGUUUUCUUGAGAGUCAUUUUCAGUGGUUGCGAUGCACAUCAAGUCUUCGUUCAGGAAAUCAAAGUGUAAAGGCUCGUAAUCUUUCAAAGCUCUACUGGCUAGAAAAUCUGUUGUCGCAGUCCCUUUUACGGCCUUUUGGUUCACAUAGACUAUGUCAAAUUCAGAAAGCAGAAUUUGUCAUCGGGUCAUCAUUCCAUUCAAAGCUGUUGACUCCAUCAUGUAUUUCAGAGAGUCCAGGUUCAAGAUAAGACAAGUGGUGUGAUACAACAUAUAUUGUCUUAGCCUUCAGGUUGUCCAGACCAAGGCACAAUACAACUUCUCGAUUGGUGAGUACCUUGUCUCACAUGCAAUGAACUUUUUAUUAAGAUAGUAAAUAGCUCUUUCUUUCCUUCCCGACUCUUCAUGCUAGCCGAGUACGCAUCCCAUGGAAUUCUCAAAUACCGCCAAAUACAGCAACAAUAGUUUAUCUAGGCUGAGUGGCAUCAGCACGGGGGUAUUGGAUAAAUACCGUUUGACCUUGUCAAAAGUCUUUUGGGAUUCUUCAUUCCAUACACUUGGGUUGUGUUUCUUAAGGAGACGAAAAAUGGAGUCACAUUUCUUGGUUAGUUGUGAAAUGAACCGAGCGAUGUAAUUUAGUUUUCCUAGGAAUCCUCAAACUUCUUUUUAAGUACAUGGCAGAGGCACCUCUUGUAUGAUUUUGACUUUGUUUGGGUUGAUCUCGAUCCCUUUCUCACUAACCACAAAUUCGAGCAGCUUUCCGAACCUGGCUCCAAAAGGUACAAUUUGCUGGAUUGAGUUUUAGCUGAAACUUUCUCAAUUUUAAGAAUAAUUUCCUCAGGACUUGUAUAUACUCCUUCUCUAUUCGGGACUUUGUGAUCAUAUCAUCGACAUAAACUUCGAUUUCUUUGUGCAUCAUGUCAUGGAAGAGGGUUACCAUGGCCCUUUUGGUAUGUUGCUCCCGUAUUUUUCGGUCCAAAUGGCAUCACCUUGUAGCAAAAUAUUCCCCACACGGUUACAAAUGUGGUCUUCUCCAUGUCUUCAGAAUGCAUCUUUAUCUGAGGAUAUCCUAAGAAACUAUCCAUAAAAGAGAACAGCGAGUAACCCGUUGUGUUGUCCACUAAUGUAUCAAUAUAAGGCAGUGGGAAGUUAUCUUUCGAGCUGGCUUUAUUCAAAUCUCUGUAGUCUACACACAUUCAUAUUUUUCCAUCCUUUUUAGGGACAGGGAUGAUGUUGGCUACCCAUUCUGAGUAUUUCACCAUCUUUUAAAAUCUAGCGUCGAACUGCUUCUUGACCUCUUCUUUUAUUUUCAGUAAGAUGUCGGGCCUCAUCCUUCAAAGCUUAUAUUGAACUGACUUACAUUCUUCUUUUAUGGGAAUUCGAUGUACCACUAUAUCAGUAUUCAAUCCAAGCAUGUCCUACUAUGACCAUGCGAAGACAUCCUGGAAUUCUUGGAGUAAUUCAAUAAGGUCUCGCUUUGUUUCUGCAGUGAUACUAGCUCCGAUUUUCAACUCUUUCUCUUCUCCUAAGUUCAUAAUUUUUAUCGACUCUUUGUGAGGUAAGAUUUGUUUCUUAUCUUGUUAUACCAUCCUUAACAAAUCAGGAGAUAGGUUACAAUCUUAAUCAUCUUCAGAAUCCUGAGAAUCAUCUAUAGACAUAUCUUGCUCAAAAGGAGACUCUGAGUUAUUAACAUCGUCGCUCAUAUCGUUGGUAUCCGGGGACCUGUUAUAGAGGUGAAGAAAAAAUCCAAAGAAUAAAAGAAUCUAAGAAUAAUUAUUUGAAUGGUAUGAUUAUGAAUGAAGAAUAGAAGAAUAUUUGAAGGAAAGUCCAAAGAACAAAAGAAUUUAAUAAUAAUUAUUUGCGUAGUGUAAUUACAAAUGAAAAGAAUGAAAGAAUAUAUGCUAAAAAAUGAUAGCAAAGAUGCAUUUUAUUGAAAUAACGAUUUUGAACAAAGGCCUAUUUCACAAAAAAGAAUUCUUAUUACUCCUAGGCCGAGAGUAAUAAGUGUGUUCUAAACAUUACUCUGUGUUAGUUCUAAAAACUAUAGGAAUCUCUUUCACAGUCUAAUUGUUCAGAACACUUCCCGGCUCACAAUGGUGAAUACCCGACAAAUUCUUUCCUCCAAUCCCUUCUUCAUAUAUGGCGUUGAUGUCUAAAUUUUCCAAUGUUCUUUCUACGGCUUCCUUAUUUGGCGUCUCCCGCUAAGGGUGAAUGAUUCCUCCAGACACAAAAGUCUUUAAUAUAUGGGGAAAGAUCAUUAGUUCCUAUUUGAUCUCCUCCCCAUUCAACCGUGCUUUCCUUCUCUCUUGUUUCUUUUUUCAGUUAUUUCUUUUUUUGUCUCACGUUCAGCUUAAAUCUUAAGCCGAAGCGGUCUUGUUUGUCCUUUAUCAUUGGUGCCUCAAUCCUUCUUGGAGGUGUCUCUCGAGUCCUCUUCUUGGUAAGGCCCCUUUCCCAACAGUUAGCUGCAGGCCUAUUCUUGUAGUCUUGGAUAUCCUGAGCAUUGGGAUCCUGUUUCCGUCGAUAAUGAAUGUCGCAUUCACAAAUUCCAAAGAUCGAAAGAAACAUUCGAUUGCUUCAUUGUUUGCCUCUAGAUAUGGCGUGUCACUGGUCACUACUGCGAUGAUAUCCUCUUCAGCAUUUAUCGUCACUAGUCGACCUUCGGUUACCAAUUUCAACUUUUGGUGUAGCGAUGAAGGCACUGCCCUUGCUGAAUAUAUCUAGGGUCUCCCCAAUAAGCAGUUGUAUGAAGGCUUAAUAUCCAUCACCAGGAAGUCCACCUCGUACGUGUUUGGGCUGAUCAAAAGAGGUAUUUCAAUUCUGCCCAUUACCCUUCUCUCUGUACUAUCGAAUGCCCUCACUAUAUUCUGGCACGCUUUCAUGUGAGAGCUGUCUACAGGCAAUCUGUUCAGUACAGAUAAUGGUAGGAUAUUUAAGGCCGACCCGUUGUUAAUCAGCACCCCCGGUAGCGUAUACCCCUUGUAGCGUGUGGUGAUGUGUAGAGCAUUAGUCGACCCCAUGUCAUCGAGUGGCAUCUCUUAAUUAUUGAAGAAGAUAAAGCUAUCGGCACUUAUGUUUCUAACCAAGUAGUCUAGCUUGUUGACGGAGAUAUCAUUAGCGACAUACGUUUCGUUUAAAACUUUCAUCAGUGCACUGCGAUGGACCUCCGAAUUUAAGAGUAAGUCUAGCACCGAGAUACGAGCUGGUUGUUUACGCAGCUACUCAACACUGUACUCGCUAUGCUUUAGAAAUUUUAGAAAUUCUUGAGCCUCCUCUUUAUUGACCGGCUCAUUAACAGAAGGUUCAGGUCUGGCCAUUUUUUUCUUCUAUUUGACCGCUGUAGCUUUUCCUUUUCCGGGUUCUGCUCUUGCGUUUGCUGAAUCGUAGCGCCUCUCGCUACGUGUAUAGGAACUCACAUCUUGGUCUCUUUUAAAGUAUCAGUAGGGUUCUCUUUUCCCUGGAUUUUCACGUUACAGUCGUAAUUCCAUGAGACCCUCUUGCUGUCUUUAUAAGGAAAGACUGCGGGUUUUUUAUUAUGACUUUUGGUGGCAUUCGCACUCCCGCUUCAUUAUUUUUGGGUCGUGAUAUGAUGACUACUAGGUAAUUGAAUUUUUGGGCCUGCGCUGUCGAUUUUCCUUCUGACAUGCAUAUAUUUCCCUCUUUGGGGCUUUUAACCUCUUCAUAAAACUCCAUUUCUUUGUUGUUCAUCAUGUCCUGCACUAGGGCCCUAAACUCCCCGCAUUCUUGGAUUUCAUACACCACCUCAUUAUAGAACUUACAGUAGUUUCACUUUUCUUCAUGUCUCUUUUUCGAAUCCAACACGAUUAAUCCUCUUUUCACCAUCUCCUUCCAAACCCAUUUCAAAGGGGUUUUAACUUCCACAACCUCAUAUUUGACCUUCUUGCUCCCACUUUCGUUUAUCCUGUUUACCUCUUGGUCGGCAUGAUUGGGUAGCGGUUUCCUGCUACAUUGGGCUCGGAUGGGUCGUCAAACUUCACAAUCCCUAUUUUAAUAAAUCUUUCAAUUAACUUUUUAAACGCAAUGUAAUUUUCAAUUGAAUGCCAGUGAUUGCAGCGUGGUAUUCACACUGAGCAUUUGUGUCAUACCAUUUGAGAUAUGGGGGUUGCAUUGGCUUUAAGUAGAAAGGAGGCACUACGUGCACAUCGAAUAGGUUCUGAUACAGCUCCCUAUACGUCAUGGGUAUAGGUGUGAACUGUAGUCUUGUGUUUGUUCUCGUAUUGGAUUCUUGUCUUAGGGUGCUCUGAUGGUUGGCAGUUAGUGUUUUUGGUUGGCUCACUGUAAACGACUUAGAAUGACCUUUGUUGUUCGUGCUCAUGUUGUUCACUUUGUUCUCCCUUUUCUUUGGGGUUUAUCUCUUGGUACUUUCCUCUGCAUCUAUUUUACCACUCUUUACCGCGUUCUCGAUCAUUUAACUGGUCAUCACUAUAUCUGAGAAGCUUUUAGUGGCGCUCCCAACAUAUAAGUGAUGAAUGGAGCCUUUAAGGUAUUAAUGAACAGUAUGGUCAUCUCUUUUUCUAGGAGAGGUGGCUGGACUUGUAUAGCAACCUCUCUCCAUCUUUGGGCGUAUUGUCGGAAGCUCUUAUUCGAUUUCUUUUCCAUGUUUUGCAAGGUGAUCCUAUCCAGAAUCAUAUUCAUCACGUGACUAUACUGUUUCAUGAAAGCUUAAGCUAGGUCCUUCGAUGAGUUGAUCUUAGUAUGGCUCAAUUGGUUGUACCAUUUGGAUGUUGCCUCAACCAGACUAUCCUGGAAGUAGUGAAUCAAUAGAUGAUCAUUAUUGACGUACCCCGUCAUUCGUCUACAAAACAUGGUAAUAUGAGCCUCGGGGUAGCUACUCUCGUUAUACUUCUUGAACUCAGGAGUUUUGAACUUGGGGGAAAGCACCAGGUCCGAAACCAAGUUCAAAUCUUUAGCAUCGAUCCCACAAUGAUAGUCAACAUUUUCCAUUGCUUGGAACUUCUCCUCUAACCACCUGCAUCGAUCUUCCAAUUAUUUAGGGAGCUCCACUCUCGCUCUUUCGGCUUCUAUUAUGUCAUCCAGAUCAUGGACUACGGGAUUAGCUGGGUUAUCCCCUGGAUUAGAGCUUAAGCCUGCUUGAUAGUUGAUUAGUAUCAAGGCACCGACCUAAAAUUGUUAGGGCCUGAUUGUAAGGGUUGGCCUUCGAGUACACACCUCGGCUUGUGUCUGAGUGUUUGUCGGGGUAAAACCAAGAGGGUAAAGAGGAUCUUCAUUGUCAUCUCUAGUAUUGACCAUAGGGCUCUUUGCUUUCUCCUGUCCACCAGUCAGCAGUUGUGUUAGCUGGUUAUCAUGUUUCUUUGUGAUUCCCGCAUUUGGUCCCUUAUAUCCUGCUGGAUUUUAGCCAAUUGCUCUUGCAUUUGUGCUUGCAUCUAUUUUUGCAUCUCUUUCUGCAUUUGUUCCAAACUUUCUAGUCUUUUAUUCAUCGCUUUAGUUUUUCUUCGGGUACCGUAACGAUGCGUACUUGGUAGGUUUUUGUUGGUUUUCAGAUUAUGGAAAUAAUUUUUAAUUAAUUAGGGUCCUUUUGUGAAAAUUAAUGCAUAUAGUGCGAUGAAAUGCAAAUGGAUGAAUGUAGAAAAAAGGCGUCGACUCUGAUUUAAUUCCAUUUAGAACAACUUUACUAGAAAACAAAAUUCUCUACAUAGAAAUGGAUUACAGAUACAGCUUAGCCCUAAUGCUCAAAGUUUUAAAUUUCCUAAGCAACCAAGCCAAUUUCCGGCCCCGGUCUAAUUCUAAUUCAUAUUUCACACUUAAUACAUCUACUUGAACUGCUAAAGUCUGUAAAUGGUUGGCCACCUCUCGAAUCUGGGCUACAGCCUUACCCAUAAUGUAGUCUCCGUCCUUUAUUUGACCCUGAGAUCGAUGGAGUUGCUCACUACAUCGCUCAUCACUUACUUCAAGGAGCUUAACUCGGAACUUACUGUUAGUGCAAUUCGAGUUCUUUGACCUUCCUUUUCAGCUCUUCAAUCUUAUCCAAGCUCUCAUUCAGCUCUAUUGCAGAGUUACGACUAUAAUGCUAAUGAAGCGAUUUUUCUAAUUCUGUUAUUCUAAUCUUUAACUUGAUCUUCUCAUUUUUGGCUUCCAACAGACUCUUCUCUAAGACUUCUUUUCGACCCUGGGCGUCUUGGUAUUUUCUCUCCCAUCGAUCAGCUUUAGCCUUAUCUUCUUGGAUCUCGUGUAGCCAUUGUUCAGACCUUUUUCCCAAUCCGGAGGUUCUUAUCGAUAGGCACAAUUUCUUAUAAUAUGUUUUUAGACUAUCCAAAUCUUCCUCAGCCUUAUUCUAUCCUUUUCUCCAUUUUUCAAUCUCUAAUUUCUGAACAUCAACAUCUAGUUUCACAUGCAUCUUCUCCUCUUCUAGUUGCUCUAUAUUCUUUUCGAGCUCUAAAUUCCUUCUUUCAAAAUCCUGUUUUAUAAUCUCUAACUCGGAUAGGACUACUUUCAGAUAUUCGUCCAUCGAUCGCGUGCCCUUUUAAUUUGGCUAAGGAAUAUUGUCGUUGAUUCUUUUACUCCACCAUCCAUUUUACUCAUGGGUUGUUAUUAGACCAACAACCAAUCUUUUCAACUGGUGGAUUUGACUCCAGGCGUUACACAUUUCCCAUACCUUUUUCUUAUAGUUAUCCUCCUUAUACUAAAACUCGCAUUGAACUAGUCCUUGGGUUACCUUUAUAAACUAUCUCGAUCUGUACUACCUCAAUACGAGCAAAGGAGCAUAUCCUACGGCUUUCUAAAUCCCAAGUAGGGGAACCCAGUCAAAAUCCCCAUAUCGGUACAAGAUCUCAUCGGGAACCAACCAAAGGGCUCUCCACUCGAUAUCCUCUUCUUGGAGAUUUUAGAGGAUCGCUAUCCAUUUUUCCUCCGAUAUGUCGUCCCAUCUUGACGUAGCAACUAUUUCCUUUAAUGGUGAGUAAUUCUCGGAGAACACCCUAUAUGACACAUUGUCUACCUUCUAGAAAUGGCUAUGGAACCAAGCUAGCAGGAAUUGCGCACAUCCUAUGAAUCAACCCUCACCAGCUCUUUGGCAUCCAUUCAAAGAUCUGAAUGUUUCGGCUAAAAUCGUGGGAACUGGCAUUAUUCUCUUAUCUAGCCGGUCAAACAGAUCAAAAACUGCCUCAUCUACAUGCCCUAGCGCAUUAGGAAAAACCAUUAACCCGUAGAUACUUAAAGCAAAAAUCAAGUCUCGCAAACUUUUCUAGGGAAUACAUUUGCUUUCUCCUUUUUGUUUGAUCCGAGCCGUAACCCACUACUCAUUCAUUCUGGUGAUAUUCAUCAAUUUCUUCACAAAGGUCGGAACAUUAGCAGCUUUAGAAUAGGCCUUGUCAACCUGAACCCUUGGGCAUUAAAGUAGGGCAGUAUAUUCUUCCACUAUGAGUACCAAAUCUACGUUCCCAAAGGUGAAACAACUGUAGGCCGGAUUCUAGAAUUGGGCCAAAGCUUGAAACAAAUGCUUAUCUAUCUUGAUGUCGAGUCAGUAAGGUAGAUCACUGUAAUUGUUGUAAAAUAGUUGUUUAACUUCAUCAUCCCAUUGGGCCCACAUUUCCUUCAAUUCUCAAAGAUCUUUCUGCGUCACACUGAUACGAGUGAAGUCCCAUAACUCUGAUGUAUACCCCGCUGUCAAGCUAUCUCUCUUUUCCAAUUGUGUUUUCUCCGAACAUAUAUGGACAACCACAUUAUCCUUAACUUUAUCAAGAAAUUCAUUCUCCAUGACAAGCUCUCUAUUUAGUAAUCGAACUUGAACCGAUACCCUUUUUUAUGAUGAAAUACCAUGCAAUCACAAGCAAAACAACACAAGUCAGUACAAUUCAUAUGAAAUUAAAGCAAGUAAGAAAUAACAAGCAGAACACCUAUUCGGACAACCGCUAAUGGCUUAGUGUGGCUCUACUUACGGUGGGUGUAAUAUCCCGAAAUAGGGCAUAGUCGGAAUAGUGGUUUCGGGACCAUAAAUCUGACAUCAAAAUAUUUAUUUUAUGAUUAUUAUGAGGCCUAGAAUGUGAAUAUAUGCAUGUGUUAAAUUUUCAUGAAGAAAUUCUAAGUAUAAGAUGUCCAAUUGGAAAAUUAGGGUCUAAAUUGAAUAAAUUGCAAAACUUGGAUUCUAGCAAUAAUUUGUAUGAAAUUGCUUAGGGUUAUGAAUUAGAAGGCCUUGGAGAGAAAUUUGCCCAAAUUCUAAGUUUUUGGACAAAAAUAGGCUUGCAUGGUUGAAAUUUUAAAGAAAGGGCAUGAGGGCAUUUUGGUCAUUUGGUAUUUUAAUGAAAUAAAAUGGGAAAAGAAAGGCAAAAAUCAGCCAUUUUCUUCUCCAUGGCCGCCAAAAAUUGAAGGGACACUAUAGCUAGGGUUUUCAAGCUUUCCAAACUCAAUAGUAAGUGCUCCCAAGCCCCGUUUUUCAUGCUCUAUGUAUUUUUGAAAUCCCGGUAGCUUGCUCUCUCCAUUUCUACCCAUACUUCAUGCUAGGGUUCAUGUUUAAAAAUUUACCCAUGCAUGAGUUGUUUGUAUUUUGAUAGAUUAUGGAGGAAUAUGAAAGAUGAAUGUGUAUUAAACAUCUUUUCCUAGUUGAUUUUCAUGAGAAACCCUUAUAGAGAUUAUUUUGCAAAAGAUGUAAAUAUGUGGUAGAAAUGAGAAAAUAAUGGAAAAUGUGGGCUACCAUAAGAAGGAAAAGUGUUCAGCUAGGCUUGGGUAAGAUAAAAAGUGCAUGUGUUUCAUUAUACGAGCCUAGGGACUAAAUCAUAAUAAUGUGAAAGGUUGGGGGCAAAACGGUCAUUUGGACCGGGGGUAGAUAUUAAACUUGAAAUGCAUAAUGUAGUAAAUUAAUGACAUAAUUUUGUUGUUAUAGACCCUGAGGAACAAAUUCCGGAGGUCGAUCGUGAUAAACGUAAGGUUUCGGAAUAACCGAAACAUAUCUUUAAAACGAAUACCAGGUAAGUUCAGAUAACUUUAAGUAAACCUUUAAUAUGCAUAAUUGUAUGAUUUAUGAAUGCAUGAUAUUUGCAUUUAUUGAUGGCAUGAAAAUGCAUGAAAUGCAUCUUUGAUAAUGACUUGUUGAUAACUAUCUCAGUUGAGGUUAAAAAGGGAAUUCGAUGGAUAAACCAUGCUUUACAUGUGUAAUAAGAUCCUGUAUGUGUUGCAGUAAGGAUUUAGCCCGGAGGGUAAUCCGUCUCAAGUAUGGAAAGGAAUCUAGCCCGAACUGGUGUUCCUUGAAUGAUCAAGCCUCCCGAAGAAUAUGUGUGCAAUAUGGAUUUAACCCAGACGGGUAAUCUGAUUAGGGUCUGAAUUUAGCCUGGACUGGUAAUUCAGAUCUGAGCUCACUAAGGGUGUUUGUCGCUAUAAGGGAUUUAGCCUGGACUGGUAAUCCCGACAUCACCUUAUGAGUCCAUAUAAUAGGGAAUUUAGCCUGGACUAGUAAUCCCACCAUAUGAUGUGAGGUUCGCGGGAGUGCAUAUAUGGAAUGAUCAUUUGUAUAAAUUGAUGGAUAAUGGGUAUUCCAUCGAGAUUUCCUUGAAACUCAACGAGAUUAAAGUGGGAUACAUAUGUAAAUGAAAUGUUGAAUGAUGAGCUCAUCUAGUUAAAUUACAUGAUACAUGAUUAUGUGACUAACUCAUUGAUUGAGUGCAUGUGAUAGGGAGUCAUUUCAUAAUGGAUGAUUUCAUGAUUUAAGUAUGGAUGUAUGCUAAUUACUCAGUAAGUUUACUUUUUGGUUAUUUGAGCUUACUAAGCAUGAAAAUGCUUAUCCCUCUCUUUUUCCCUGUUUCACAGAGCUCGAGGACUCAUAAGGACUAGAAGACGAUUGGAGAGUCAACACACUAUCAAUUAGACAAGCUUUGGUAUAAAGACUUUGUUUAUUUUAUUCAAUGGCAUGUAUAGUAUUUUUGAGUAUCUUGUUAUAUGUGUCAUUUGAUUUGCACAAUGAAGGCAUGUAAAAAUAUGUUUUUCUUUUUGUAUAUGGCUAUGAAAAUUGGCUUAAUUGAAGUAGGCUAUGACCUACGAUUUUAUGCAUGGUUUAAAUUACGAGUAAUGGGUCGUUACCAAUUGGCAAUGAGUCACAUGAAUGAGCCAAUUUUGGAUGAAUUAAAAUGACAUGGGAACCCAAAAAUAAUAAGUGAGAAAUAUCCUAUCGUGUAUGGAACCAAUGAUACGAGGUUUCCACACAACUAGUUUUAUUAAGAUUAUUUACAAGUGUAAAAUCAUGUUUUCUUUCAAACUUUAUAAGCACUAAGCUCAGGCAGUAGAAAGGGGUGACUAAAAGCUUGGAAAAUAGUCUAAUAAAGUCCACAUGGUUGGACACACGGGCGUGUGUCUAGGCCAUGUGUGACACACAAUUUCCUCCUAUGGGUGUGUGCUAUGGUCGUGUGUCCCCUGCACUUAAAAUUUUAGCUCAAAGUUGUACACGGGUAGGCCACACGGGUGUGCGUCAUGGCCUUGUUAAAAAGACAGUGUCGUCCACGGGCAGGCAGCACGGGUGUGUGCCAUGGCCGUGUUAAUAAGUCAGUGUUGCCCAAGAUUGAAGGGCAUGGGUAUGCCCUAAGUUACACGGGCGUGUGAGUCCACACGGCUCACCUAUACGGGCAUGUGACACUUUAAGAUAAGAGAAAUUUCUGAGGAGCCCAAGGUUUAUCGAAUGUACCCAAAUUUGCCCUGCAUUGCCUCUAGGUAUGUUAUAGGUCUCGAAAGCCUAUAUAAGGGACGAGAUAUUCAAGGUUGAAAGGUUUUAAAUUUGAACAAAAAUUUGUGACCCCAAAUAGUAUGUUUCAAGUGUAAAGCCCCUGUAAUGCCUCGAACCCUAUCCCGGUGUUGGGUACGGGUGAGGGGUGUUACAGUGGGCUCCUAUGGGUCACUACAUGUGGUUCGGUUCUAAAGACAAGGUACUUGAACCAACAGAUUCCUCAAUCCUCACCCAUUAUAGGCUCAUAUAGAUCGAGUUCGGUUCAAGGGAAUACAUUUCCCCAUGGUUAUACGGAGAUGAAAAUCUUACGAAGACAUAGGUACAGAUGUAUCCCGGAAGCGAUCCACUAUCCUGUACGGAGGUGAAAACCUCACGAAAGACUAGUUUCUCACUUUCACUUAAAGGGAAGGACCGAGCAGUCAUGCAAUGCAAUAUGCAAAAAUAUUUAAAGACUCGAACCAACAAAGCAGGUAUUAUGACCGAGAUAUCGAAGAUAACAGAUGAAAUGCAAUGAAAGGAUCGUAUUUUAAAUCAAAUUUUCAAUUUUCAACGAAAAGACAUAAAUUAAUCAAUUUACGGCUUGACUCUCUCAGUUUCUAGUAGAGUCGCCAAGCUGUCGAAAUCCUUUUUUUUAAACUAUCAACUUUAUUUAAAAAGAAAAUGAAAAAUAGGAGUCGCCGCCAUUUUUCAAGAGAAUACAUUCCCCAUGGCUAUACGGAGAUGAAAACCUUACGAAGACAUAGGUACGGAUGUAUUCCAGAAGCAAUCCACUAUCCUGUACGGAGGUGAAAACCUUACGAAAAACUAGUUUCUCACUCCCACUUAAAGGGUAGGACCGAGCAGUCAUGCAAUGUAAUAUGCAAAAAUAUUUAAAGACUCGAACCAACAAAGCAGGUAUUAUGACUAAGAUAUCGAAAGUAACAGAUGAAAUGCAAUGAAAGGAUAAUAUUUUAAAUCAAAUUUUCAACUUUCAACGAAAAGACAUAAAUUAAUCAAUUUAUGGCGUGACUCUCUCAGUUUCCAGUAGAGUCGCCAAGCUGUCGAAACCCUUUUUUUUAAACUAUCGACUUUUAUUUAAAAAGAAAAUGAAAAAUGAGAGUCGCUACCAAUCCUUUUUGAUGAGGUGUGAUCGGGUCACCUCAUGAUCGAUCGUUUUAAUAAAACGUUUUGAUUUACUAAAACAACAAUUUUGGUCUACGAAAUUCGAGAAAACAAGUUCAGGAGUCGGUUACAUACGAGGAAGGAUUAGCACCCUUAUAACGCCCAAAAUUAGGUACCUAAUUGAUUAAUUAAUGUCUAAACGUCGAAAGUUGAAAACUCAAAAAGCAUUUAAAAUGAGAUCCUCUCUUUUUUGUUAACGUUAAUUUUACAAAAAAAAAUGUUUAGAUAAACUGAAGCGGAUGCUAAAGACCUUCUUGUCCCAAAGUAAUAAAAUGUCACAUCUAGUACGUUAGGACACAACAUUUUAAACCCUCAAGAAUAAGCUUGUCUUUUGAUUUUCAAAACUCAUGCAUUUUAAUUUUAAUGGGAUAUUCUGACAUUUAGGUCAAACGAGAAAAAUUAAAACUCAGUACAUUAGGGCACGAUCUCUCAAAUUUCCAAACACAUAAUAUUGCAUUUAUUAAAUAAUCCUUUUUUUUAUGAAUUUAGAGUGAAAAUUGAUAUAAUAUCUAAAAAUGGUAUGCGAAUAAAGUAUUAUGCUAACGAAUGACAAUAGUAUGAGUGUACUAAUAAACGAUUCAUAGUAUAUGAUGGCAAUUAUGACGUAAUAUACAUCAUUUAAAUGCCAAUAUUAAUGAUCAAAGAAAAUGAACUAAAUGAUAAAAAUUUGAUAUAAAUAAUAAAACAAUCUUAAACAAAUAAAAAAAAGGUUUAAAAAAUAGACACUAUAAAAAGUAAUUUGAAAUACAUAAUGCAGGAUAGCUUAUGAUGAUUGAUAUGCCAACAUUCUAAAAUAAGAUAAUACAUAUAAAGGAACUUAAAAUAAAUAAAACAUUUUAAAAUGUCAUAAAGAGAAUUUAGAAUAAAUAUUUCAUAAAAAGUAAUUUGAUAUAAAUAAUACAUAUAUAAAAAUAAAUAAUAGCUUAAUAUAAAUAAUAUAAAAUUCAAAAUAAUAAAUGAAUUUUAAUCAUAAGAAAAAGGGCUUGAAGAAAUAAAUAAACAAAUAAAUAAAGUAUUAAAUGAAAUAUUAGAUAAACAGUUUUUUUUAACAUAAAAAAAUAAAAGAAAUUGGAGUUAUAGAAGGUUAAGGAUUAAUUUACAGUAAAAAACAAAUAUGAGAUACAAAUCAUAAAAAAAUGAUGAAACACAAAAAGGAUCCAAAUAAACGCGUGCGGAAAAGAGAAGGACUGGCUGGGAAAAUAUCCCAAGCCCUUAAAACGUACAUGUUUCAGUAUGGACUAAAAUGAAACAACAUCGAACUUAUCGGGCCAAAUUUUAAAAAAAUAACAAAGACCAAAGGGAUCUAAUUAAAGCAGGUGUAAAAGCGGAAGGACUUAUAAGGCAAAUAGAUCAUUUAAAAAAAGCGGAUCUUAUUAAUGGGCGGGUCGAAUUUCAGGUAGAGGCCAAAAUGAUGUCCUUUUGGCCUCUGAAAUUAAUCUUCAAAACGGUGUCGUUUCUUCUUGCUACAUAAAUAGAAAUUUAAAAAAAAAACUCAUUUUAGCUGAAAUUUUUUUAAAAAACUCAAAAAGCUUCUUGUUUUCUCUGCAGGGUUUUUUGCUCUAGCCAUAGGAGAUCGUCACCCCUCUGUCGUGGCUCCACCGUCGGUGGUGGCUGGAGAGACAACCGAGGCUUAAUCUAGGCCUUUUUUUCAUGUAGAAAUAGAUUUAGGACCCAAAAAUUUUAAAACCAAACUCCCUAAAACUCUUAAAACAACAAAAACUUUCAACUCUUGGCCUCCUCCACUGUGGCUUCAACCAGAUCCCCAGGGAUCCGGCAGCCUUCGGACCAGAGAAGCAAACGCCGAUGACACCAAGACCGAACAAUGGGUAAAAAUCUCCCUUUUUUACAUAUUUGUGUGGUAGAUUCGAAUGAAAAUAAGAAAGAAAAAGAAAAUAAAAACAGAAUAAUAAAGAAAAAAAAUAAAAACAGAAUAAUAAAAGCGGCGAUGAAUAAAUGGACCACCUUUGAAGUGUAUUUUCGUUCUGUGUUGAUUUUUGUAUAAAAAAAAUACAAUGAAAAUGUUUCUGGCUUUAUAGCCGAAUGAUUACAAUCUUUUUUUGUUUUUGUUUUGUUCUUCUGCUGCGUUUGUUGUUGUUGUUGCUGUCUUUUUUGCAGGUAAAGAGGCGACGUGGUAGGGCAGCUAGCGCGUACGGAGGCAAGGGCAAGGUGGCUGCAUGAGCGGCGCAAAGGGAACCCUAGGGUUCUUCCGAAAAUUCCAAAUGUCAUGGGCCUAUCGGGCUUUGCAAUUUUGGAUUUGUUGUAAUUGUAAAAUUUGGCAUGUAAUUGGGUUUUAAUUGGUUGUGAAAUGGAUUUGUAAUUUGUUUCUAUUUUGGACUUAAUUAUUUGUUUUUGGUUUAUUAUUAUUUGGUUUCGUUUCUAGUUUAAGGCUCGGGCCAAAAUUGGGACUUACAGUUGAUGUGUUCCAACAAAUUUUUUGUGCUUUUAAUUUACUCUUUUUCUUCCUUUAAAAAAAUAUUCAUCAAAUUGACAAUCUAAAAAUGUUAGCUUUUAAAAGAAAAUCAUUUGUUAAAUAUCUAAUGAUAGAUGGAGAGUCAAAACCAAC